UAAUGGGGCAGCUACCAUGCAGUCGAGCGAGCUCUUCGGAGUUGUGGCGGACGGGUGAGUAACACGUGGGAACGUGCCUUUAAGUUCGGAAUAACUCGGGGAACUUGUGCUAAUACCGAAUGUGCCCUUCCGGGGAAAGAUUUAUCGCCUUUAGAGCAGCCCCCGACUGAUUACCUAUUUGGUGAGGUAAAGGCUCACCACUGCGACGAUCAGUAACUGGUCUGAGAGGAUGAUCACCCACAUUGGGACUGAAACACGACCCAAACUCCUACAGGAGGCACCAGUGGGGAAUCUUGCGCAAUGGGCGAAAGCCUGACUCAUGCAUGCCGCGUGAAUGAUGAAUGCCUUAAGAUUGUAAGAUUCUUUCACCGCGUACGAUAAUGACGGUACCCGGAUAAGAAGCCCCGGCUAACUUCGUGCCACCGGCCGCGGUAAUACUAACGGGGCUAGCGUUGCUCGGAAUUACUGGGCGUAAAGGGAGCGUAAGCGGACAUUUAAGUCAGGGGUGAAAUCCCGGGGCUCAUCCUCGGAAUUGCCUUUGAUACUGGGUGUCUUGAGUAUGACAGAGGUGUGUGGAACUCCAAUUGUACAGGUGAAAUUCGUAUAUAUUCCGAAGAACGCCAGUGGAAAAUGCGACGUACUGGCUCAUUACUGACACUGAGGCUCGAAAGCGUGUGGAGCAAACAAGAUUAUAUACUCUGGUAGUCCACGCCGUACACGAUGAUUGCUAGUUGUCGGGAUGCAUGCAUCUCGGUGACGCAGCUAACGCAUAAAUCAAUCCGCCUGUGGAGUACUUUCGAUCGAUUAGAACUCACUAGAAUUGACGGUUGACCGCACGAGCAGUGCAGCAUGUGGGUUAAUUCUAAGCAACGCUCAGAGCUUACCACCUUUUGACGUGCCUGGAGCGUCACUUAGACGUGCUUUCACAUCGUGGACUAGGACUCACGUGCUGCAUGGCUGUCGACACUCGUGUCGUGAUAUGUAACUCAAAUCCCGCACUGAGCUGCAUGCUCGCCAUCGUUGCCAUCAAUUUAUGUGGUAACUCCUCAUGCGACUGCAGCGCUAGUCUGAGUACGAUCGCGAUGACGUCGAGUCUCAUGGACCAUUACAGGUGAGCUACCGACGUGACUACGAUGACGACUACAGACGUUAAGCCCUA
rnacentral:rRNA from 1 species